UAGAUUUAUUCUUACACAGUAUGAGUAAUAUCUCCAUUUCAAUAAUAAAAUCUUACACAAUAUGAAGCAGUAUUCACUUUUUAU
rfam:Listeria monocytogenes EGD-e, complete genome